GGUAAACGCUGGCGGCGUGCCUAAAACAUGCAAGUCGAACGGGCAGUUCCUUCGGGAGCUGUCAGUGGCGGACGGCUGAGUAACGCGUGGGUGACAGGCCCUGGAGUGGGGCAUAACUGCCCGAAAGGGUGGCUAAUUCCGCAUACGCUCGGGUUUUCGUUGAUCCGAGGAAAGCAGUGAUGUGCUCCAGGAGUGGCCCGCGUCCGAUUAGCUAGCUGGUGGGGUAACGGCCCACCAGGGCGACGAUCGGUAGCUGGUCUCAGAGGAUGAUCAGCCAGACUGGGACUGAGACACGGCCCAGACUCCUACGGGAGGCAGCAGUUAGGAAUUUUGGGCAAUGGGCGCAAGCCUGACCCAGCAACGCCGCGUGGGUGACGAAGGCCU
rnacentral:rRNA from 1 species